AAGUUUCAUCAGCUCCGAGUUGUUUAUUCUAAACCUAUUGAGGUAUGAUAGACAACCGAUGGGUGCAGUAGGAAACGACUGUGCCUCCCCUUUUGGAAAGGAGCGUUACCAUUAAUAUU
rnacentral:ncRNA from 2 species